rnacentral:tRNA from 1 species
GCGGAGGUGGCAGAACGGCUAUGCAUCGGGCUGCAGACCCGAAGAUAGAGGGUUCGACUCCCUCCCUCCGCU